CUCCACAUUGUUCUGGAAGGUCUGAGAGGGGUAUAGGAAGGUCUGAGAGGGGUAUAGGAAGGUCUGAGAGGGGUAUAGGAAGGACUGAGAGGGGUAUAGGAAGGUCUGAGAGGGGUAUAGGAAGGUCUGAGAGGGGUAUAGGAAGGACUGAGAGGGGUAUAGGAAGGUCUGAGAGGGGUAUAGGAAGGUCUGAGAGGGGUAUAGGAAGGUCUGAGAGGGGUAUAGGAAGGACUGAGAGGGGUAUAGGAAGUAUAGGAAGGACUGAGAGGGGUAUAGGAAGGACUGAGAGGGGUAUAGGAAGGACUGAGAGGGGUAUAGGAAGUAUAGGAAGGACUGAGAGGGGUAUAGGAAGGACUGAGAGGGGUAUAGGAAGGUCUGAGAGGGGUAUAGGAAGGUCUGAGAGGGGUAUAGGAAGGUCUGAGAGGAAGGUCUGAGAGGGGUAUAGGAAGUAUAGGAAGGACUGAGAGGGGUAUAGGAAGGACUGAGAGGAAGGACUGAGAGGAAGGUCUGAGAGGGGUAUAGGAAGGUCUGAGAGGGGUAUAGGAAGGACUGAGAGGGGUAUAGGAAGGUCUGAGAGGGGUAUAGGAAGGUCUGAGAGGGGUAUAGGAAGGACUGAGAGGGGUAUAGGAAGUAUAGGAAGGACUGAGAGGAAGGUCUGAGAGGGGUAUAGGAAGGACUGAGAGGGGUAUAGGAAGGUCUGAGAGGAAGGACUGAGAGGGGUAUAGGAAGGAC